rnacentral:hammerhead_ribozyme from 1 species
AUCUAGCUGACGAGUCCCAAAUCGUACGAAACUCGUGUCCUGGAC